rnacentral:rRNA from 1 species
CGGUUGAUCCUGCCGGCCCCUACCGCUAUCGGGGUGGGACUAAAACAUGCAAGUUGAGCGUCUCCAAGCCAUGUGGAGGCGCAGCAUAUCUCUCACUACCACGUGGCCAACCAACCCUUAGGGCGGGAAUACCCCCGGGUCUCUGGGGUUAAUUCCCGAUAGGUGAGGACGCCUGGAAUGGUUCCUCGCCGAAAAGACGUUAGAGGCAUGCUCUCUAACGUCGCCUAAGGAUGGGGCCGCGGCCGAUCAGGUUGUUGGUGAGGUAACGGCUCACCAAGCCUAUAACCGGUACGGGCCGUGAGAGCGGGAGCCCGGAGAUGGGCACUGAGAUAAGGGCCCAGGCCCUACGGGGCGCAGCAGUUGCGAAAACUCGCCAAUGCACGAAAGUGCGAGCGGGCUACCCCGAGUGCCGUCCGCUGAGGAUGGCUUUUCUCUGCUGUAAGGAGGCAGAGGAAUAAGGAGAGGGCAAGACUGGUGUCAGCCGCCGCGGUAAUACCAGCUCUCCGAGUGGUAGGGGUGAUUAUUAGGCUUAAAGCGUCCGUAGCCGGCCUAACAAGUCCUUCGCUAAAUCCAGCAACCUAAUUGUUGGGCUGCGGAGGAUACUGUUAGGCUAGGGGGCGGGAGAGGCCGACGGUAUUCCCGGGGUAGGGGUGAAAUCCUAUAAUCCCGGGAGGACCACCAGUGGCGAAGGCUGUCGGCUAGCACGCGCCCGACGGUGAGGGACGAAAGCUGGGGGAGCGAACCGGAUUAGAUACCCGGGUAGUCCCAGCUGUAAACGAUGCGGGCUAGGUGUUGGGGCGGCUACGAGCCGCUUCAGUGCCGCAGCGAAAGCGUUAAGCCCGCCGCCUGGGAAGUACGGCCGCAAGGCUGAAACUUAAAGGAAUUGGCGGGGGAGCAC